rnacentral:tRNA from 2 species
GGGCUUAUAGUUUAAUUGGUUGAAACGUACCGCUCAUAACGGUAAUAUUGUAGGUUCGAGCCCUACUAAGCCUAGCACCCCC